rnacentral:rRNA from 1 species
ACGAACGCUGGCGGCAUGCCUAACCCAUGCAAGUCGAACGAGACCUUCGGGUCUAGUGGCGCACGGGUGCGUAACGCGUGGGAACCUGCCCUUAGGUUCGGAAUAACUCCCCGAAAGGGGUGCUAAUACCGGAUAAUGUCUUCGGACCAAAGAUUUAUCGCCUUUGGAUGGGCCCGCGUUGGAUUAGCUAGUUGGUAGGGUAAAAGCCUACCAAGGCGACGAUCCAUAGCUGGUCUGAGAGGAUGAUCAGCCACACCGGGACUGAGACACGGCCCAGACUCCUACGGGAGGCAGCAGUGGGGAAUAUUGGACAAUGGGCGAAAGCCUGAUCCAGCAAUGCCGCGUGAGUGAUGAAGGCCUUAGGGUUGUAAAGCUCUUUUACCCGGGAUGAUAAUGACAGUACCGGGAGAAUAAGCUCCGGCUAACUCCGUG